rnacentral:sRNA from 1 species
UCAAGGAAUUAUUCGAGCUUCUGUGGAA